CGAGGCAAAGCAGGAGUUCAUA
rnacentral:miRNA from 1 species